rnacentral:lncRNA from 1 species
AGCUUCUCUAUACAGGCAUGGCGGCAACAAAGCAAGCCCCCGAAAACGGAUCCCUUCCCCCUCUUCCUCACUGCUAGAUCUACCCUGAGUGCACGGCACCCACUGGAUCUAGCUCAUGGAGGAAGGGGGCAACCAGCUAGGAGGGAGGCUAUCGGGAAGGAAGCUGACCAGCGUGGACUUCUCGACCUCCUUUUUCUAGGCGCGUUGCCGAUGGUGAUGGAGGGGCAACCUACGAAGCUUCUAGAUCUAGAGCUUUCAUUGACGGCGACAUGAUCGUGAGCCA